UAAUCAGAAAAACAAAUGAGAAAUGACCUCUGUGCUCCUUUUUGCAUGCAGUGUCCGCGCUUUAGCAGCCCUUGGCCCUAAGCUCCAGAGGGGUAUAUAUUUUAUUCCUGGAAGUAUUAUGGAUGUGUGAUUUAGCAGGCUGUGCGAUUAAACAGGGUAGACUAGCUGUAGCUGUACAUAGUGUUGUGUUGAAGAUUCUGUCUGUGCCCUGUGGUGCUGUCAGGAGUGACAGAUCCCAGAUGGAACAGCUACUGUAUGUGAGAUUGAGUUUCUCAGCAGAAAAGUCUUUGCCUCCCUUCUAAACCUCUUCAAAAAGCUUCUCUAGAUGAUCCAGAUCACUACAACACAAUGAAAAUAGAAGCUUGCUGUCAGCCAGUAUCUUUUGUGUCCUAGCCCUGGCUCUUAUUUAAGUAAAGCCCCGGCUGGAAGUCCCAUUCGGGGAAGUGGAUGAUGUUCUGGAUCUGUUCUGUGCGGUGUGUGCAGCCCCAUUGUCACAGCUCCUCUCUCCAGGACACCUACCUACCAGCUGAUAAGGAAACCAACUUCACCCAAUCAGGAUUCCUGGAAGUUUCUGGAAAACUUGGGAAGCACUAUGUAUGGGCUGCAGGAUUCGGGAAUUUCCUGCAGUUGGCAAAAUAGCAGCAAAAGAGCGCCCUCUCACCCUAUCACAAGUGCUUUUUGUGGUUGGAUCAUCCCAGAUUUCUGGGGGGACAAUUUGUUAUUCAAUGGUAAUAUGUGGUUAAAGCUGCUUGAGUUCUGAUAACUAAUAACUUAUAAUUAAAGUUGUAAUAAAAUAUUGGUUAUUGUUUGUUUGAAUAUAAUAUGUAAAAAUUAAAGUGCUACAGCCAUUUCUUGCCAA